rfam:Psychroflexus torquis ATCC 700755, complete genome.
UGCAUAGAGGAAGGAUUUGACUGAUUGCAACCUCUUUUUAAAAUGCUAAAGCAGUUUCA